ACCUGUGAUCGCGCUAUGGAUACCUAUGUUUAUGUGCGUGAUCAGUUUGGCGUCGAAAAGAAGAUAAAAAGGCAGCCAUAUUGGGAAAAGAAGUUAAUCUGAGAUGCUAAUGUGCACGAAAAAAAAUGUAGUACUUAAUUUCCUUUGAGGAAGCCGAAAUUUGUAGUAUGCUUAAGUAAUCAUCUGUAUUGUUCUUCGCAGUGGAUAAAACAUUUUUGAAAAGCUCUUUCUUCCUGAAGGUUAUUAUAUUUCGAAGAAAAUUAUAGAACGAGCGAAGCGUGCUUUGAUUUGAAACACGAUUAUUUCGCAACGUCUUAGCUUUAAAUAAAGAAGCGAUUGGUAAAAAUUUACUGGAUGUUCAACAAACCUCAGUCUAUGCUAUCUGAUCAUUUCUUCCACAAAUAGUACAUUUAAUUCAUUUAGCAGAAAUCUAAACAGAAAGUUGUUUGAUUACUAUCAUACUGCGAAAGAGAUGAUAAAUUUAGUUGAAGAGGAAGUUGAACUUCACCACCACCACCAAGCAAAGCAUGACCCCCAGUAAGAUGACAAACACAAAUAUGCAUCUGCACAGCAUACCCCGGUGUGUGUGUGUUCCCCCCCCUUCACAUCUGUUUCCAAGAUCUCACAGCUAGCUAAUGUUAGGUGUUGUCUUCUAACCGUCUGUAUUGCCUUGAAAGAAGAAGAAUUUUAGCAGAAGAAAGCAACAGUGUAUUUUCAACUGUAUCAACAAACUUAAUUGUGUACUUAAUUAUAUAGUCUUAUUAUGUAUUUCAACUGCUUAAAUAACUAACAUUAAAUAUUUAAAAAAAAGGUUCAUUUUAUUAAAAUUUUAUGACAAUUA